AUUGAACGCUGGCGGCAGGCCUAACACAUGCAAGUCGAACGAGUGGCGGACGGGUGAGUAAUGUCUGGGAAACUGCCCGAUGGAGGGGGAUAACUACUGGAAACGGUAGCUAAUACCGCGUACCAUCGGAUGUGCCCAGAUGGGAUUAGCUUGUAGGUGAGGUAACGGCUCACCUAGGCGACGAUCCCUAGCUGGUCUGAGAGGAUGACCAGCCACACUGGGACGGAGACACGGUCCAUGCGCAUACGGACGGCGGCCGUGGUGAAUAGUGAGCAAUGGGCGCGAGCCUGAUGCAGCCAUGCCGCGAGUAUGAAGAAGGACUUCGGGGUGUAAAGUACUUUCAGCGGGGAGGCGUUACCCGCAGAAGAAGCACCGGCUAAAUCCGUGCCAGCAGCCGCGGUAAUAC
rnacentral:rRNA from 1 species